rnacentral:rRNA from 1 species
GUUAAGUCAGAUGUGAAAGCCCGGGGCUCAACCUCGGAAUUGCAUUUGAAACUGGCAAACUAGAGUACUGUAGAGGGGGGUAGGAAUUUCAGGUGUAGCGGUGAAAUGCGUAGAGAUCUGAAGGAAUACCGGUGGCGAAGGCGGCCCCCUGGACAGAUACUGACACUCAGAUGCGAAAGCGUGGGGAGCAAACAGGAUUAGAUACCCUGGUAG